rnacentral:rRNA from 1 species
UACGUAGGUGGCAAGCGUUAUCCGGAUUUAUUGGGCGUAAAGGGAACGCACGCGGUCUUUUAAGUCUGAUGUGAAAGCCUUCGGCUUAACCGGAGUAGUGCAUUGGAAACUGGGAGACUUGAGUGCAGAAGAGGAGAGUGGAACUCCAUGUGUAGCGGUGAAAUGCGUAGAUAUAUGGAAGAACACCAGUGGCGAAAGCGGCUCUCUGGUCUGUAACUGACGCUGAGGUUCGAAAGCGUGGGUAGCAAACAGG